rnacentral:rRNA from 1 species
GGCGAACGGGUGAGUAACGCGUGGGUAACCUACCCGGAAGUGGGGGAUAGCUCCGGGAAACCGGGGGUAAUACCGCAUCAGCCCCAGACGGUGCGAAUCGAUUGGGGGAAAGGCGGGGAUCUUCGGACCUGCCGCUUUUGGAUGGGCCCGCGUCCGAUUAGCUUGUUGGUGAGGUAAUGGCUCACCAAGGCUGCGAUCGGUAGCCGGCCUGAGAGGGUGAUCGGCCACAUUGGGACUGAGACACGGCCCAGACUCCAACGGGAGGCAGCAGUGGGGAAUUUUGGGCAAUGGGGGAAACCCUGACCCAGCGACGCCGCGUGGGGGAUGAAGGUCUUCGGAUUGUAAACCCCUGUCAGGUGGGAAGAAGGGCGCAUCAGUUAAUACCUGGUGCGUUUUGACGGUACCACCAAAGGAAGCCCCGGCUAACUCCGUGCCAGCAGCCGCGGUAAUACGGAGGGGGCAAGCGUUAUUCGGAUUUACUGGGCGUAAAGCGCACGUAGGUGGCAAGGUAAGUCGAAGGUGAAAGCCCUCGGCUCAACCGAGGAAUUG